GCGUGAAAAUAGCCGAGUCAGAUAAUUCACUUCUUCCAGACAUUCGGAUUGUUGGAUGCUUGCUGAAAGGAUACCGAUCACGGAUCGCGGCACACGAAGGUGAGCCGGAGCACUGUCUGGGCUCUGAAGGCGAGGAUGAGGGCAGCGUUUGGGGGAUGGAGGUUCUGGACAGCAGAGAUGCUCAGGAUAAAGUCAGUCUGACGCCCAGCGAGGGCACGGAGCCCGGCAGUCCCGUCCCGUGUGCGGAGAGCUGGGCUGACACCGAAACCACACCGCUGAAAAUCACAGCCGCAGACCCCGAGCACUGUCAGACUGACGCUCGUGUGAUGGACGGCCCGAUUCACGCUCAACAGCGCA
rnacentral:lncRNA from 1 species